UACAGAGGUCCCGAGCGUUGUUCGGAUUCCCUGGGCGUAAAGGGUGCGUAGGUGGCAUUGUAAGUUUGAUGUGAAAGCUCAGGGCUUAACCCUGAAAUGGCAUUGAAUACUGCGGUGCUGGAGGUUUGGAGGGGGGACUGGAAUUCUUGGUGUAGCAGUGAAAUGCGUAGAUAUCAAGAGGAACACCAGUGGCGAAGGCGAGUCCCUGGACAACACCUGACACUGAGGCACGAAAGCCGGGGGAGCAAACAGG
rnacentral:rRNA from 1 species